ACUGAAUCGUUUUCGAUAAGAGGUCUACAUGAAACAAUAUCUACAGAAGUUUUCAGCUCACUUUAUGUCAUAUGAAGAAAUUAUUUAGGACAUUCAAGGGAAUCUAUAUUGUUGAACUGAGUCUACUCGAAGAUUAUUGGAUUAUUGAGGGCUCGGAUUCUUUCAUGAAGGUAGUCCCAGAUUAGAGUCCGCACUAGUUGUAAGCCUGUUCAAAAUUUGAAUGUAAAAUUCUUUAAAGUAUUACUGAGUCAUGAGUUCAGGAUUAGGCAGUGGAAUAUGUACAAAAAGAAACUCAGUAGGAGGAUGCUUUUUCCAGGGGAACAGCGGAAUAUCAUUUUUCAUCAUACAAAUAAUAUUAUUGUAGGUACCUGCAAACCGAUGGGUAUUCCUUCAGACGUCAGUCCGCAUGGUACAUUAGUAGCUGGUAGACCAAAU